UUAUGCAUGUUUUAGAUGGUUGAAUAUUGAUGAUGAAUAUUUUGUAUGAUUAAAUGAUGCAAUAUAAGUUGUUUAUGUGAUAUUUGGAAUAAAUGACUAACAUUGUGUGAUGUGGUGGGAUGAAGAGAGAUCCUAAGGUUGGAGGCGGUGUCGGUGGAACUCGAGAAGUUGCCAAGAACCAAACCCAACACUCAUCGAGGUAAAUAGACGAAUGGAGUAUGCUAGUUCGGGAGCUUUAGGAGCUUUAGACGUUGGAUUCACUAUUUGCGUUUUUGUACUUUAAAUGACUACUUGUGGAAUUGAAUAAUUGUAACCAUGGCUGACAUUUAUUU